UCUCCGUUGGUGAACCAGCGGAGGGAUCAUUACCGAGAUUUUCUACUCCCAAACCCCUGUGAACUUAUACCUUUACUGUUGCUUCGGCGGGUUAACGCCCCGGAAGGCCCAAAAAGCCGCCGGAACCAGGCGCCCGCCGGGGGACCCAAACUCUUGUAUUUCUUACUUUGCAUGUCUGAGUGGAAUCAUAAACAAAUGAAUCAAAACUUUCAACAACGGAUCUCUUGGUUCUG
rnacentral:misc_RNA from 1 species